rnacentral:rRNA from 1 species
GACGAACGCUGGCGGCGUGCUUAACACAUGCAAGUCGAACGGAAAGGCCCUGCUUUUGUGGGGGGCUCGAGUGGCGAACGGAUGAAUAACCCGUGGGUAAGCUGCCCUUUGCUUUGGGAUAAUUUUAGGACACCGGGGCUUAUACCGGAUAAGAGCGCCUCCGGCCGGGGGGGGGGUGGAAAGUUUAGGCGGUUGGGGAUGGACUCGCGGCUUAUCAGCUUGUUGGUGGGGUAGUGGCUUACCAAGGCUUUGACGGGUAGCCGGCCUGAGAGGGUGACCGGCCACAUUGGGACUGAGAUACGGCCCAGACUCCUACGGGAGGCAGCAGUGGGGAAUAUUGCACAAUGGGCGGAAGCCUGAUGCAGCAACGCCGCGUGCGGGAUGACGGCCUUCGGGUUGUAAACCGCUUUCGCCUGUGACGAAGCGUGAGUGACGGUAAUGGGUAAAGAAGCACCGGCUAACUACGUG